AUGGGACCUGAGCAUGUAUUUGAUGAAUUGACUAAGGCGCUGAAAGAUCCUGCAGAUUUUGUAGAUUUUGAUCUGCCAUCUGCGUUGAAAGAAUGGAAGCUGGGCUACUACAUACCAAUUAAGCGGAAUAUUUAUCUUACUAAGAAGCGGGUUGAAGAUGAUGGCAUUUUUUGUUCCUGCUCCCUUUCUUCUGAAUCACCAGUUACUUGUGGAAAAGAUUGCCAAUGCGGGAUGCUGUUCUCUUGUUGUUCAUCAAACUGUAAAUGUGAGAACAAGUGUGCCAAUAAAUCAUUCCAGCUCCGACCUUUGUUCAAAACAAAAUUGAUUAAGACAGAGAAAUGUGGCUUUGGAUUGAUAGCCGAGGACGAAAUAAAGAAAGGAGAAUUUGUUAUAGAAUAUGUAGGAGAAGUUAUUGAUGACAGAACUUGUGAGGAAAGACUAUGGAAAAUGAAGAGACAACGUUACACUAACUUCUAUCUUUGUGAGGUCAGUAGCAAUAUGGUCAUUGAUGCGACAAACAAGGGGAACAAGUCCAGGUUUAUCAAUCAUAGUUGUGAACCAAACACAGAGAUGCAGAAAUGGACUGUGGAUGGACAGACCAGAGUUGGAAUUUUUGCUCUUCGUGACAUAGAGAGAGGGGAGGAGUUGACCUAUGACUAUAAAUUUGUCCAGUUUGGAGCAGAUCAAGAUUGUCAUUGUGGGUCUUCAAACUGCAGAAAAAUGGUUGGCACGUCUAAGUCGUUCAACUCAUUUGUUCUUCACAAUGGCAACUCAGGAAGCUCGCAAGAUCAGCACGACAUAAAGAAAAGAAAGACAACCUCAGAUAAUUGUAUUGGGGAGAUCAUCCGUUUAUGGGAUCGACGAGAUAAAAUGUAUGUCCCAGCAGUUGUACAUGACUAUGAUGAGUACACUGGAAUGCAUACUUUACUGCUUGAUGAAGAAACUACUGAAAAAUUUGAUAUGAGAGAGGAAGAUUGGGACUUCCUACCGCGCCCAGAAGAUCCAGAAGAAGACAAUUAUUGA
rnacentral:rRNA from 1 species